GUGCUCACUUAAGCAGCACCCAUACUAAAAUUGGAACAAUAAAAACAGAUUAUCCUCAUCCCUGCCUAAGGGUGUUACACAAACUCAUGAACCAUUCUAUCUUUAA
rnacentral:snRNA from 1 species